rnacentral:rRNA from 1 species
GAUGAACGCUGGCGGCGUGCUUAACACAUGCAAGUCGAGCGAACGGACGAGACGCUUGCUUCUUUGAUGUUAGGGGAGGAGGGGAGAGUAACAUGUGGAUCAUCCACCUAUCAGACUGGGAACAUUACGGGAAACCGGAGCUUAUACCGGAUGAUAUCUUGCACCGCAUGGGUGAAAAGUGAAAGACGGUCUUGGUGUCUCUACUAGCUGGAUACGCGCUGCAUUGGCUAGUUGGUAAGGUAAAGGGUUUUCAAGGCAAGCAUGCGUAGGCGACCUGAGAGAGUGAUCGGCCGCACUGGAGCUGGGACACGGUCCUGGCUCCUACGGGAGGCAGCAGUAGGGAAUCUUCCGCAGUGGGCGAGAGCCUUGCAGAGCAGCGCCGCGUGAGUUAUGAAGAUCUUCGGAUCGUAAAACUCUGUUAUUAGGGAAGAACAGAUGUGUAAGGAACUGUGCACAUCUUGACGGUACCUAGUCAGAAAGCCACGGCUAACUACGUG